CUCUUUUUUCUUUCUUCUAGUUUUUCUUCUUCUAGACCUACAUUUAAUCAAAAUCAGCCGCCACUACGAGCAUUAGAAAAGAGGAUUAAACAUAAAAAAUACUCUCAUGAGUAAGAAGUUAAAGAUCUAAUUGAUGUUAAAGUAGGUGUUCCUUAUGCUUCAAAAAAGAAGAAGAAGUGGAGUUUAUUUUACUGGUAAGCAAAAGAUCUUAAUCUUCUUUGGAGAGAAGAGACAAGUUAUUUGAGUAUGAUUGUCGAAGAGCCACAAUUAGAACCGAUUCCAGAUUCUUCUAAGCAACAACAACUGUGAGGAUGAGAUCAAGAAUUCGGUUGUCCAAAGCUAAUACGCUUUAAUUAUGAAGAAAUCAACAGAUUUAGAAUGUAUAAAUAUUUAGUUCAACAAAGUUUGUAUGUAUUUGGUAUUCCUUGUACAAUUAUUUUUUCCGAUGGAAAUGUACUAUGUACAAAGUCAAUUGCUUUGUUUGUA